rnacentral:sRNA from 1 species
AGCAGCCGCGGUAAUUCCAGCUCCAAUAGCGUAUAUUAAAGUUGUUGCAGUUAAAAAGCUCGUAGUUGAAUUUCGGGGUUAGUAGAUCGGUCGUGCCACUGGUAUGUACUGGUCUCACUGAUUCCUCCUUCCUGAUGAACCGUAAUGCCAUUAAUUUGGUGUUGCGGGGAGACUGGACUGUUACUUUAGAAAAAUUAGAGUGUUUAAAGCAGGCUAACGCUUGAAUACAUUAGCAUGGAAUAACGGAAUAGGACGUUCGAUCUUAUUUUGUUGGUUUCUAAGAUUGACGUAAUGAUUAAUAGGGAUAGUUGGGGGCAUUAGUAUUCAAUUGUCAGAGGUGAAAUUCUU